GUGCCAGCAGCCGCGGUAAUACGUAGGCAGCGAGCGUUGUUCGGAAUUACUGGGCGUAAAGAGUGUGUAGGCGGUGUUCCCAGUCUGUUGUGAAAUCUCCCGGCUUAACUGGGAGGGUGCAGCGGAAACUAGAAUGCUAGAGGGUGGGAGAGGUAAGCGGAAUUCCUGGUGUAGCGGUGAAAUGCGUAGAUAUCAGGAGGAACACCUGUGGUGUAGACAGCUUACUGGACCACUUCUGACGCUGAGACACGAAAGCGUGGGUAGCAAACAGGAUUAGAUACCCUGGUAGUCC
rnacentral:rRNA from 1 species